GCCUACGGGGCGCAGCAGUGGGGGAUAUUGCACAAUGGGGGAAACCCUGAUGCAGCGACGCCGCGUGGGUGAAGAAGCGCCUCGGCGCGUAAAGCCCUGUCAGCAGGGAAGAAAAUGACGGUACCUGAAGAAGAAGCCCCGGCUAACUACGUGCCAGCAGCCGCGGUAAUACGUAGGGGGCAAGCGUUGUCCGGAAUGAUUGGGCGUAAAGGGCGCGUAGGCGGCCUGGUAAGUCUGGAGUGAAAGUCCUUCUUUUAAGGAGGGAAUUGCUUUGGAUACUGCUGGGCUUGAGUGCAGGAGAGGUA
rnacentral:rRNA from 1 species